GCCCUCGUAGCUCAGGGGAUAGAGCGACGGUUUCCUAAACCGCAGGUCGUAGGUUCGAUUCCUACCGGGGGCACCA
rnacentral:tRNA from 1 species